rnacentral:lncRNA from 1 species
CUCGGGCAGGCGCUGAGGCCAGGUGCUCUCCCGGGCCUGAAGACUGGAAGGCAAAACCCACAAUGUGAAGGGCCUGAGGCAGCGCUGUUGCCUGGUGACAUGAGUCCCAGGGCCAUGGUCUCCCCCUCGCUGGCACAGCCCAGCCUGCUGGGGAGGUGCUUGCAGGGCCGGCCUGUGGAUGGAGACGUCGCAGAGGGUGAGGCAGCUGAUUCACACCCGGCCUUCUCCCUGGGCCCGAUUUCCCUCUGGCCACUCAGCCGGCGCAGCUCCAGCCUUCGGGGGACAGGAGCCCCACCCCCACUUCUGUCUCCCACCACCUCGUGUGGCGCUAAUCAGGAGAGGACAGCGCCAUCUGCCAAUCCCCUGGGCUCUGACACCCUUUAAGGUGUAGCGCACACAGCCUCAGGAGCCGCCAUGACAACUGAAGAUGCUACACGAAGGCCAGGGGAUGCUGCCAUGUCCCCCAGGCAGGUGCCCACGCAGCCUGUGGCCCCACGCCAUGGUCCAGUGUGGGGGGAACACCUUGAUUUUUAAUAAAGAGACCAGAGACCCUGGCUGGGUCUCUCACCACUGCCACCUCCU